UACGUAGGUGACCAGCGUUGUCCGGAUUUACUGGGCGUAAAGAGCGCGCAGGCGGUCGUUCAAGUCGAGUGUGAAAGCCCCCGGCUCAACUGGGGAGGGUCACUCGAUACUGAUCGACUUGAAGGCAGGAGAGGGAAGCGGAAUUCCCGGUGUAGCGGUGAAAUGCGUAGAUAUCCGGAGGAACACCGGUGGCGAAGGCGGCUUCCUGGACCGACACUGACGCUGAGGCGCGAAAGCUAGGGGAGCAAACGGG
rnacentral:rRNA from 1 species